rnacentral:rRNA from 1 species
CCUACGGGUGGCAGCAGUGGGGGAUAUUGCACAAUGGGCGAAAGCCUGAUGCAGCGACGCCGCGUGAGGGAAGACGGUCUUCGGAUUGUAAACCUCUGUCUUUGGGGAAGAAAAUGAUGGUACUCAUAGCGGAAGCUCCGGCAAACUACGUGCCAGCAGCCGCGGUAAUACGUCGGGAGCAAGCGUUGUCCGGAAUUACUGGGGGUAAAGGGAGCGUAGGCGGGAUGGCAAGUAGAAUGUUAAAUCCAGCGCCUCAACCGGUGGCUGCGUGUGAUACUGCCGUGCUUGAGUGAAGUAGAGGGAGGCGGAAUUCGUGGUGUAGCGGUGAAAUGCGUAGAUAUUAGGAGGAACACCGGUGGCGAAGGCGGCCUGCUGGGCUUUAACUGACGCUGAGGCUCGAAAGCGUGGGGAGCAAACAGGAUUAGAUACCCGAGUAGUC